AGAUACUGAAAACAAUGCCCAGGAAUGCUAACAAGCAAGAAAGAGGAAGUUAUAUUCGAGCUACUUUGUGCCCUCCUCCCCUGUGACGUUACCACUAGCAUCUUGACCAUUUUGGUUACUACUGGAGGGGAAAAACCUCAAAUCCUUUCCUGAUCUUGGAAGGGCUCCAAAACAGAGCACAUAUUCCUUGCUUAAAAGUGACCUGUUUCAGUUUUUUUCUUAAUCCCUGCUAGAUUCUGGUUUGCCAUUAUUAAAACUCCACAACGAAGCAUUUACUAGCUUUGUCCCUAUAUUUACAAUACCUUUUGACUGAGAUGUCUAAGAGCUUUAAACAUAUGCUUUAAGCAGUGAACGGUUGGCGCUGACAUUUGUUACAAAUCUUUUCAGAAGGCCUUGUGGAAUCGUUCUAAUCCGGGAAGAGCCACUGACUCACUGUGUGAUCUGACAGAGUGACAUAUCACUUGACCUCAGUCUCAGCAGCUGUAGAACGAGGUGCUGUCAGAUACAGUGCGUUGCAUUCUCCAUGAGAUGGCUAUGGGUGCUUUAAAACAGCAGAUGAAACGCUAUCCCAUUCUGCCAGCCCCAAGUAUGGGAGCUCUGGUAGAAGUCCAGCACUUGCAGCAGCAGCGCUUUCCCCUGCCAAAUUUCCUGACAUUGACAUUACCAGUGUUCAGACCUCAACUAGCUCAUGACCGAGGACAGCCUUAAACAAAAUGCCAUUUCCCUGCCCAUUCCGCAUGUUUACAUUUAACCUUAAGUUUCCUGCUAUUUAUUCAUGUGAAAUUUCUUCCCCACCUUAGCUGUUCUGUCUUAUAAUUGGGUAGAUCUUAAACAUUACUUAAAUAUCUGGAAAGCCACUCUAGUUUGCAUCUGGAUAGCCCCUCUCUGCAGAGAAAUCUUUGGUGGGCAUAGUACUUCUGCUGGUGCAUCUCUUUGCUGUACACUGCAGAGCAGAGGGAGAAGGGAGGCAGCUAAUGGUGGCCAGGGGGACCUGGACUCUUGUGAGUCUUGGUCUGGAGAGUGACCUGGUGAGGCAGGGGACUGAAAAUGUGGGAGGGAGAGCCCUUCUAGCUGAUGAAACUUUAAGACGGACUUAAGGCUGCUGUAAGAUAUUUUAAACCAAACUGUCCAAUAUCAACAGGAGUUUAAGGAGCAAACAGAAGGGUCCAUCCUCAGGUACAUGACAUGCCCAAGCAGCAUGAGCUAAACUGGAAAUAAGUGCACAAAAGCAGUCUCAUUCCAGGCUGUAGCACAGCUUCUGCUAGAGCUGUCUGGCACAGCCUCAGGAGCUGACGUCCUGCUUGAACUGUCAUGUCCCACUUGCAUUCCUGAGCCAUCAGACGACAGCAUGUGGAUGCGCAGGCAGCAGUCAGCAGCACAUGCCAAGCAAGUUUCGUACAAAAAUAGAAACACAAUAGAUCUUUCAAUUUUCCAGUGCGUCUUCCCCAGUCCUUACCCGUUUUACUUACAGUGAAAUGUAGAGGCAUGUGAGGUGCUGUGUCCUAGUUGCACUUGGUCUGUGCACAUCUCAGGGUGUUCUGAUCUAGUUUUAAUCCAGGCAAAACCAAGUAGUUUUGAUUUGAGUCUGGCCAAAAGUUUGAAGCAGUCAUAUUGUAAAUGGGGUGUUGGUUUGUGCCUUUUUCAUAGUUCUGCUAUUCAGAUUUUGCUCCAUCUUAUUCUCAUAUAAAUCAAACUGAAUGAACUUGAAGGUCUGAAGCAAUUACAGACCAAGGAAUCUUAAAAGUGCCAGCCCAUGGGAAGAUACACCUGCCACAUCCCUUUUCUUGUGUGUACCAGCCAUCUUACUAUUGAUCUCAUUGCUGUUAGUGACCUGGUGCCUCAGGCACAGACAGUUGCACUUGGGUGCCUGACUCCUCUAAUUUCAGCUGCUGGGGCAGCUGAAGCAUGACAGUUCAAAUCAUUCCAGGCCAGGAGUACAUAAUGUACAUCCCAUGCAUAAUGCCACUGCUACCUUUGGAUGGCUUCACCUACUCAUACAGUUUAGAAUUAGGUAUUUAGGAGUUGCUUCCAUUUCUCUGUGACAACUAGGCUAUUAUAACUGGACAGUUCUUUAAAAAUAAAAAUGAAUUUCCACUACAACCUUUAAUUUAAGGUGCCACGAACAUAAAAAUAAACAAGUUACAUUCUGUUUCUGAUUUUCAGACACUUGUACAUGAAUUGCCAAUAGACCAAGAGCAGUUAGGACCUACAGAAUAUUUUUGUUAUUUUUAUUUCAUAAUUUCAUGCUGGUUUUCUAACACGGCUUUGAAUUACCACUGUGACUUCCUGUAUUUCUGUGAAGAAGAAGAAAGAAAUGUUCUCCAUCCCAGGGAUAUGUGAUGCCAUACUUGCUUUUUUUUUUUUUUUCCUUUUGUUCUUGAUUUUCUAGAGGGGAUGUCUCAUGAAAAAAAGAGUCAAAGAUGAUAACAGUUCUAGGCAAAACUCUUGCAUCAUUUAGUCUAGGUUUCUGAAUUGGGUAAUACAGCUUUCUAUGUAUUUACACUUAACUUUCAAUUAACUCUUGGAUGUUUGCAGCAACGUCAUCUCAGCAGUCAGGGAGACUUUGUGAAGCUGUUUCCUUCAUUUAGUAGCCUACCAUAAGAUUUAAAAUUUGAUCUAUAAAUUUUGCCUUUUUAUUUUUCCCUGGCAGCUUCUAAUCAAUAUAAAAUGUGAAAAUACCCUUUCCUUUAAUUGUUAAUGUGUUUGAUUGUGUAUAAAUUGUAUUUUUAUGUGCUAAUCCCAGAUAAAAGUGUAGGAAACAGCAUGUAUGUUAUCUCUGGAACGGGCAGAGUCUUUAUAGAAUGAUAUUACUUCUGUAGACUUUUUAAGGGGCUCUGUUCUGGUGGUAUUCAGCAAUAUGAUUUCUGCUUCCAUUAUUUUUUUCCCUGUAUUUCUUCCCCUUAAAGUAAACCAAACCAAAUUAUGUAGGACCACUAGGAAAUUCUUUGAGAGGAAGGCUGCAAUAUGCAUCUGUACCAGUCAAACAACUUUCUAAUUCCCAGUUUAUUUCCUGAAGACACCUAAAUAGGGCUGAGCUGCUGGGUGUCUGAACUUCUUCCUGCUCUCAGUAUUUUAUCAGUUAUCUCAAACACUGUUCAGAAGACCCUAUACUGUAUAAAAGAGCAUACAGAAAUUGUGACCAACCACACAGUGAGUAUAUUAAAGGUUCAUCCUCCCUCCUGCAAAACGUAUUUAAGGUUGUUUAAUAUUGUAAUUUUUGAAAAAAAAAAAAAAAGUCCAGAAAUGGGCUUUUUUCCCCUUUUUUCAUAACUGAGAAGAGCAUUCCCAUUCAGGGAGUGGGUAGUUCAGAACACUCUAGUGUUUCAGACCCUCUGAUUUUGAAGCUGGGGACUAACUCAGUAGUGCUUGCGCAUUUUGAGUGGGAGGGAAAAUGUUAAGUGUACUUGAAAACGCUUGUGUGCUAGACACCACCAUCAUGGACCAGACCCCAAAGGGCAGGUUUACACUGCACUUUCCACCUUUGUGUUUGUCUUACUGAGUGCCUAAUCAGCUAAGCCAAACUUCCUUUACUCUAAGGAGGGUUCUUUGGGCCAUUUCAUGAUGUAUUUAUUAGUGCAAACUAUCUGUUCAGCUUCAACAGGAUUUUUUAAUAACAACUUUCUUAACAUUGUUCUGCUUUUGCAUGUCUUUUUAUGAUCUUCUGCAUUUUUGUCCCCCUUUACCUUUAGCUUUUCUGCUGAAAACUGUUACAACAAUAGUGAUCAUCUAUUUACAUGGGCUUUGCUUUUUCUUAAGAAUAGAUCUUUGUGUUUCAGUAAGAUCUGUGGAUCUAUUUUGAAAUAUCUGUUGUGAAAAAGACAACAUUUUCAUUUGAAAGGCAGCAUAAUAUUCUGGUUUGUCUCAUCACUUACUCUGCCUUUUAAUUGCUGUAAUUUUUUUCUCCCUGCAGGAGGUUUAAACAUCCAUGCACUGAAUAGAGAAAUAGCACAUUAAUUUCACAGUGACUUUACACAGUGAAGGCUGUUAUUUGUAAAAUGCAAACAUCCCAGAAGUCUUUAACAACUAGUUGUAGCUGCUGCACCUUGAACUUGGUGACAGGACUUCCCCAGAGCCUACUUGGACUGCCUUCCUCUGGCUCAGAGAGGUUGGUUUCCUCAUGUUACUUCAUAGCUGCUGAAGUGCUGCCUUCCUUUUCUAAUUUUCCUUUUUGACGUAUUUCCAAUAUCUGUAGGUAUUUACAUACAAACAGGUAUCCUCAUGUAUGACUUCCACUGCCUCUUUACUGAAGGCUAGCUGAGAAAAUCUCUGGCACCAUCCUUUGCCUUCUGCAUUGUGAAAAUACAAGGGAUUUCAACAGCUUGGCUGCCUGAACUGGGGAGUACUGAGAAGCUCUAUGCAGAAUGGCUCUGUGAAGACAAAUCUUAAACCAAUGGCAGUAUUAGAAUUAAGAAAAUUAAUAAGGCAAAUUAAUAAUUGUAAGAUGUGAUACAUCUUAAAUACAGAUGUAAUAGAUGCUCUGA